CUCGGGCUCCGGCCGGCGGCCGCGGGCGGAGGGAGGGAGGGAGGGAGGGAGGAGCGGGUCGGCCGGGCAGCGCGGCCCGCCAAGUGGAGCCCUCGCGGCCCCCAGCGCCCCCUCGCGGGCCGGGCGGGGGGAGGCGGCCGAGGGCCCGACUCCGUUGCCAUGGCGACCGCCGCCGGCUGUUCCGGAUCGAGCCCGGCUCGAGUUUCCCGGCCCUUUGUCCCCACGGAGGACGCGCGUCCCAGGGCGACCGCGUGGCUGGACUUGUCAUUCGGCCGGACCCGGCCUCGGCCUCGGGGGCUCCCCACGGCUCCCAGCUCGCCCCAGCCUCUCCCUCCGGCACGCCCGCCCCCGGCCACGCCCUCGCUCUCGGGCCGCCUUGACCUUGGCCGAGGGGUCUGAGCCGCGCUGACCGCCACCCAAGAGUCUGUGCAGAAGCGGAGGCAAAAACGCCCGAUGGCGUGAACUGUGGAAAGGAACGCCCUCUUUCCAGAGACGAGCGCAGAGGGGAGAGGAGUUCCGGCGGCCGCGGCCCCGGGCGGGGGCCGUUCGCGCUUCGGGGCCUCCGUCUGGAAACGCGAGGCAGCAGGUUGGCGAGCGCGGAGGCAGGUGCGAGCCUGCGCCGCUGACUCACCCGCGAGCAGAGCAGGUGGCCUUCGCUUUCCAAACAAACCCUGCCUGAGUUUUCCAGGCUCCUGCAGUCUCACGCUUUCCAACAAAGGCCGUUUUUUAAUUGUACCAAUAUCUGAAACACUUUAAAAACCUGUCCCAUAAAUAGGAAAAAGAAUAUAAAAUCUCUCAUACUAGAGUGAGUUACAUUUAGUGUGUCCCCCAAUGCUUUUCUAUGCUUAUCUGUGCAUAUUGGACAUAAUUCGGAUAAUGCUUUUGCAAAGAUGUAUUCUGCCCUUUUCACUUAACACUACUGUGAAUUCCCCCCCCACCCUCUGUUUUAUAACAUGAUUCUUAACGGCAGCAUAAAUGUACGAAUAAAUUGUUCAAACUUUUCUGUUUUUCUGUGUCAUUAUAGAUUCGUCUUUCGUGCCUCAGGCUCUAUGAAGAUGCCCAAGUAUUGUUUAGAAGCAGCUCUGUGUCUGCAAGAGGGAAAACUCCACCCGCCUCUUGGAAACAGACUGUUGCAGGCCCCGUUCAUACACCCAACAAAUAUUUAAUCAGCGUGCACCAUCUGCCACGGCGCCAGGUGCAGGCCUGACCGGGAGCCAGGCAGAAACGGCCCACAAUGCCUUCUGACCCUGGGUUAGCGGUGGCAGUGUCUCUCGGCUCCUGCUGCAGACAGCAUCCUGAAGGCCGGCUGGGGGACUCGCCGAGCUUCUUCCAGGUGUUUCCAGGCAGCGUGGGCAGGAGGAAGAAAGCACCUGCGACCACGUUCGCCUUGACGGAGGCCACCUCUGCUGGGAGGGCCUCGCACCAGCACCGUCACUGUGCGUCCUCCGUUCCUAGAGUCGCCUCAGCCCGGGUACCUGGAGAGACAGCAGCCCAGGCACACCCUGAGCAAGGCCCUGACUGCCCAAGGCCGGCAUCUCAGGUGAGAGCAGGCUCGCUAGGUCAUGUGGAAACUCUUCCGGAAAAGAUCAGUGUGCUUCUGCUGCUGCAGUCCUAAGAAGAUCCUUCCAGGCACCACACACACCGAGUGCCUGGCAAGGAUGGGCCCUGGAAGAGCAGCCCUCAACUGGGAUCGAAUGCCAGCCCGAACUCUGCAGCAACGGACACUUCCUGCUGCAGAUCUAGUUCCGGGAGUCUGUUUUCCUAAAAGGAAAAGAACUUAAUUGGUCAGAAGGAAACCAAGGAGGGAUCUCAGAGUUCCUGUACCAGCACCAGGGUUGUGAGGCCCCGCUCACCACUUCUCACCUCUCCCCACGUCCCCUGCUCCCACCUGGCCCCCCACAGCUGCCCUGGAGCUCGGUCUCCCGAACCAGGUUAACCCUUUUAAACAUAGAUCAGGUGGCGUACGUCACAUUUUGAAAACAUCACAAACCACUGCCACAGCCUCUCAGGCUCUAUCUGGCCUGACCAGGCCUACCUCUCUAGCUCCGUGCCCUCGGGGUCCUGGUGGCCACUGUCCCAGCCUCAACAGCUCAUGCCCCCCCGUAGGGCCUUUAGAGUUGCUGUUCGGUCUGCCUAGGAUGCUCUUCCUCAAGAACUUUACUUUAUUCGGUUAGAGUCCAAAUAUCCUCUCCUCAAAACAUGCACCUCCCACCUGUGUACUCAUCUCAUUCCUGUGGCUACUGUGACAGAUUUCCCCAAACGUGGUCGCUUAAGACAACACGCAUUGAUUGCCUGGCAGUUCCAGAAGUCAGGCAUCCAAAACCAGUUUCACUGGGCCCAGAUCAAGGUGUCAUAGGGCCGCCUUCCCUCAGGAGGCACGAACCGAGACUGUUUUCCAGCCUCUACAGUCGCAUUCCGUGGAUGCCUUGGUGCCCUUCUCCCUCUUCAGAGAACUGCCUUCUGUCCCUGCUGUGGUCCAAUCUCCCGCUGCCUCCCUCUUAUCAGGACCCUUACAUCCAGGGCCUGCCCAGAUCAUCCAGGACAGUGCAAGGGCAAAUGCAAGUUAAAACUAAGACAGACAAGCUUGCAUUCCUGGUGCAAAAAGCGAGAGACUUUCCCCACAGCCACUACCCUUUCCUUAGAAGACUUGUCAUUGUGAAUGUUUCUCUGUCUCUUUGAGAUGUGUGUAUACAAAAGCCUCUUGCCAGCUUAUAACCCAGGAACCUGGAAGCCAUCUCUUUGAAAUGUAAAUAUCAAGGGAGACAGGGCCCUGUCUCCCUGUCCCCAUGGGAGGCUGGGACCCUAACCUGGGUGGACACCUGGCUCCCAGCUGCAAAACUACCUCCUGUCAUAAAGGUAUGAGAAGCGUGUUUUUCCUCUGGACAAAGGCAAUUAACAAGCACCCCCAUUCCCAGGUGAAUCUGGGAUGAACUCUGUGUGACAAAGGUCAAGUCCUCUCACCGGAGGACUAGUGACUGUACCAGGAGAACAUGUGUGUAACAGACUGCACCUGCUCGGCUGUGUAACAGGUGAGAUUUCUUUCUGUCUUUGCAAUCUCCUGGUGGACUUCCUGUGAUGUGCAUCUCAUUCUGGUGUGGUGAUCAUUCAAUAAUAAAACUGUUUUGUGUUUUUUUCUCUUCU